GCCAGGCAUGGUGGCGCACGCCUGUAAUCCCAGCUACUCGGGAGGCUGAGGCGGGAGAAUUGCUGGAACCCAGGAGGCGGAGAUUGCAGUGAGCCGAGAUCGUGCCACUGCACUCCAGCCUGGGUGACAGAGCAAGACUCCAUCUCAA
rnacentral:SRP_RNA from 2 species